CUGCCGAGUAGCUGGGACAACAGGCGCCAGCCACCAUGCCCAGGCAUACAAAACCUGCCUUGCCUCUCCCCAGUUUGAACAGUGCUUUUGAACUUUGAUGGAAAAGCCACAUUUGGAAGCUGCAGCAUCCUCGGGAGACAGCUGGAUCAGCCAGAGAGCUUCAGAAAGACACACAUCACUCUGCCAGACACACACACUGCUCCAGCUCCAGCAUCCAACAUCUGACCACAUGUCGGCAGCCACUGCUGACCUGGCUCCACCAUUUCUCCCCAGGUCUAAGCUUAAGCCGCACUGCAUUGCUUCCAUUUCUUCAUGCUUGCUCUGUUCCCUUCUACCACAGGGGCUUUGUGCAAGCUCAGCCUCAACAUGGAUCUUCCCCCUUCUUCACCUGGUCAACAGCCACUCAUUCUUCAACCUUAGUUCGAGCAUCAUCAACCUCCCCCGCUAUGUCAGUUCUCCCUGUUAGACACCCUGGCUGUUCCACAUAUCUUUUAUUCAAAGUAGUUACAUAUUAAAGCAUUCCAUUUGUGCAUACAAUUAUUGUAGAAUUACUUCCCAGCAGACAGAUGCUAUAGGAGGGAAGAGACCUUUUCUGCUUAAGUAUCUAGUGCAGUGCCUGGCCCUUAAUAGGUGCUCAACAAAAAUUUUUAAAUGAAUGCUUAAAUACCAUAUCAUGGGUCAUGUCUGGUUGCAAAAAGAUAUUCAUCAUAAUAAAAAUAAUAAACUAUAAUUAAAAUAUACUCAUCAUCAUAAAAAUAAAUGAACUAGGCAGAUACUGGUGUUAAAGGUAUCACUGCCUUUAUUGUGGGCCAUUUUAGGAUGCAAGGCACAGUAGGGGUAAACAAUUAAGAGAGACUUCUGUAGUCUAGGAAUACAAGAGCUAGUAAAUAUAUAAUGUCUCCAGCAAGAGAAAGGAGGACAAGCAAGUCGGAGCAAGCUGCCCACUGGGGUGGGAGAAGGGAAUGAUAAAAGGGAGGAUUGGAAAUAUACACCAAAAUGCACCAUUCAUACAACGUUUCUAUUCACAACUCAGAAUUCACUGAACAAAAAAUGACCAUUCUGUAUACGAUUCCAAUUAAAUGCAUUAUUGUUGUAUCUGAUUGUGCUAGUGCCUGUCG
rnacentral:lncRNA from 1 species